GGAAAGGUGGCAGAGCGGUUGAAUGCACCGCACUCGAAAUGCGGCAUACCCCUUUCGGGUAUCGGGGGUUCGAAUCCCCCCCUUUCCGCCA
rnacentral:tRNA from 1 species